rnacentral:rRNA from 1 species
AUUGAACGCUGGCGGAAUGCUUUACACAUGCAAGUCGAGCGGCAGCACGGGGGCAACCCUGGUGGCGAGCGGCGAACGGGUGAGUAAUACAUCGGAACAUGCCCAGUCGUGGGGGAUAACACUUCGAAAGAAGUGCUAAUACCGAAUACGUCCUGAGGGAGAAAGCGGGGGAUCUUCGGACCUCGCGCGAUUGGAGUGGCCGAUGUCAGAUUAGCUAGUUGGUGGGGUAAAGGCCUACCAAGGCAACGAUCUGUAGCUGGUCUGAGAGGAUGAUCAGCCACACUCGGACUGUGACACGGCCCAGACUCCUACGCGAGGCAGCAGUGGGGAAUUUUGGACAAUGGGGGCAACCCUGAUCCAGCCAUUCCGCGUGAGUGAAGAAGGCCUUCGGGUUGUAAAGCUCUUUCGGCAGGAACGAAACGGCGAGCUCUAACAUAGCUUGCUAAUGACGGUACCUGAAGAAGAAGCACCGGCUAACUACGUGCCAGCCGCCGCCGUAAGAC